AAUAUUGCACAAUGGGCGAAAGCCUGAUGCAGCAACGCCGCGUGAGUGAUGAAGGCCNNNGGGUCNUAAAGCUCUUUGAUCAGNGAANAUAAUGACAGUACCUGAAAAACAAGCCACGGCUAACUACGUGCCAGCAGCCGCGGUAAUACGUAGGUGGCUAGCGUUGUCCGGAAUUACUGGGCGUAAAGGACGCGUAGGUGGAUAUUUAAGUGGGCUGUGAAAUCCCCGGGCUCAACCCGGGAACUGCAUUCCAAACUGGGUAUCUACAGUGCAGGAGAGGAAAGCGGAAUUCCUAAUGUAGCGGUGAAAUGCGUAGAUAUUAGGAGGAACACCAGUGGCGAAGGCGGCUUUCUGGACUGUAACUGACACUGAGGCAUGAAAGCGUGGGUAGCAAACAGG
rnacentral:rRNA from 1 species